rnacentral:ncRNA from 1 species
UUUCUAGCAUGUUAAAUGGACAUCUCUACAGCGGAUGAGUUCUAUUGGGUAAAGCUUAUGAUUAGAGGCAUCAAUGCCUCAUUUCCCUCAACCUAUGCUCAUACUUUAAACAAGUGGGAUAACACGAUUGGUUUAUUGAACUGUGCCUCGGAAUCAAGAACUUUAAGUGGGCUAUUUUUUAAUAAGUAGAGCUUGUGAUUCGAGAUGAAUUACUAGAAAUCGGGUUAUAGUACCUAAUUACACUCUAAACUAUAUCCUCAAAGGAUGUUGGUCAUUUAAGGUACCAGGACGAUGGUCAUGAAGUUAAAAUCUGCUGACAAAUGUGUAAGAACUCAUUUAUCAAACUAACUAGCCCUGUAAAUACAUGGCAAUGAAUCGUGUGACCUAUACCCGACUGUUGAGGCAAGAGUCAGGUGCUAAUGAGUA